rnacentral:rRNA from 1 species
GGAGUUAGCCGGUGCUUCUUCUGUGAGUGAUGUCCUUCCUGCCGGCUAUUAACCCGCAGGCCUUCUUCCUCACUGAAAGUGCUUUACAACCCGAAGGCCUUCUUCACACACGCGGCAUGGCUGGAUCAGGGUUGCCCCCAUUGUCCAAUAUUCCCCACUGCUGCCUCCCGUAGGAGUCUGGGCCGUGUCUCAGUCCCAGUGUGGCUGAUCAUCCUCUCAGACCAGCUACGGAUCGUCGCCUUGGUGAGCCGUUACCUCACCAACCAGCUAAUCCGACAUAGGCUCAUCCGAUAGCGCGAGGCCCGAAGGUCCCCCGCUUUCCCCCGUAGGGCGUAUGCGGUAUUAGCCUGGGUUUCCCCAGGUUAUCCCCCACUACCGGGCAGAUUCCUAUGCAUUACUCACCCGUCCGCCGCUCGCCACCAGGGAGCAAGCUCCCCGUGCUGCCGCUCGACUUGCAUGUGUAGCUCGCCGCCACGCGUCAUCUGAGCAUGAUACAACUACUGA